AACGAACGCUGGCGGCAGGCUUAACACAUGCAAGUCGAGCGCCCCGCAAGGGGAGCGGCAGACGGGUGAGUAACGCGUGGGUAUCUACCCAUCUCUACGGAAUAACGCAUGGAAACGUGUGCUAAUACCGUAUACGUCCUUCGGGAGAAAGAUUUAUCGGAGAUGGAGGAGCCCGCGUUGGAUUAGCUAGUUGGUGGGGUAAAGGCCUACCAAGGCGACGAUCCAUAGCCGGUCUGAGAGGAUGAUCAGCCACACUGGGACGGAGACACGGCCCAGACUCCUACGGGAGGCAGCAGUGGGGAAUAUUGGACAAUGGGCGCAAGCCUGAUCCAGCCAUGCCGCGUGAGUGAUGAAGGCCCUAGGGUUGUAAAGCUCUUUCACCGGUGAAGAUAAUGACGGUAACCGGAGAAGAAGCCCCGGCUAACUUCGUGCCAGCAGCCGCCGUAACAC
rnacentral:rRNA from 1 species